rnacentral:rRNA from 1 species
UCCGGAGAGGGAGCCUGAGAAACGGCUACCACAUCCAAGGAAGGCAGCAGGCGCGCAAAUUACCCACUCUCAGAUAGAGGAGGUAGUAAAGACAAAUAUCGAUGCAGGACCUAUAUGAGGCUCUGUAAUCGAAAUGAGUGCAUUAUAAAUCCUACAACAAGGAUCUAUUGGAGGGCAAGUCUGGUGCCAGCAGCCGCGGUAACUCCAGCUCCAAUGGCAUAUAUUAAAAUUGUUGCAGUUAAAAAGCUCGUAGUUGGAUCUGGGCAUUGGUGUAGAGGCUGUGGGUGUAUGGUUGAAUGGGUUAACGCCUGUUUGGCUAUGCUUCGCAGUGAGUCUGCGCCGUGUCUACUAGCUGUAUCUGUGUAGUGGGCAAUGCAUGGAUGUUGGCGAUUGUGGGGUUGGUUUCCAGUAAUGGAGCUAGCUUCCUUCGUCAAUAUGUGCUAUCAUGCCUUUAACCGGGUGUGUGGUACGGACAGCACGUUUACUUUGAACAAAUUUGAGUGCUCAAAGCAGGCCUUGUUGCCUGAAAAGUCUUGCAUGGAAUAAUGGAAUAGGACUUCGGUCCUAUUUUGUUGGUUUAACAGAACUGAAGUAAUGAUAAAGAGAGACAGACGGGGGCAUUUGUAUGGCAGCGCGAGAGGUGAAAUUCGUGGACCGUUGCCAGACAACCUAAAGCGAAAGCAUCUGCCAAGUAUGUUUUCAUUUACCAGGAGCGAAAGUCAGAGGUUCGAAGACGAUCAGAUACCGUCAUAGUUCUGACCAUAAACGAUGCCAUCUGAUGAUCUGUGGGAACUCCUUUUGUGAGCCCACGGGCAAUCCCCGGGAAACCUGUAAGUUUAUGGGUUCCGGGGAAAGUAUGGUUGCAAAGCUGAAACUUAAAGGAAUUGACGGAAGGGCACCACCAGGAGUGGAGCUUGCGGCUUAAUUUGACUCAACACGGGAAAACUCACCCGAACCGGACACUAUGGCGAUUGACAGAUUAGUUGUUCUUUCAUGAUUUGGUGGCAAGUGGUGCAUGGCCGUUCUUAGUUCGUGGUACGAGCUGUCUGGUUAAUUCCGUUAACGAACGAGAUUCUAUCCUGCUAAUUAGCCCAUAUGUACGUUUGUGGUAUCUCUACUUGAUCCCGUGUGGGAGCAUGUAGGGAGCCGCGAGCGUGUGGUGCUUCUUAGAGGGAUUGGUGAAUAGCCAAAUCACAAGAGAAAGAGCAAUAACAGGUCUGUGAUGCCCUUAGAUGUUCGGGGCCGCACGCGUGCUACACUGACAGUGGUAGAGAGUUUGAUUCCGAGCUCGAAAGGGCGAGGCAAGCUUUUCAAUUACUGUCGUGCCUGGGAUCGGGGUUUGUAACUAUCCCCCGUGAACCAGGAAUUCCUAGUAAGCACAAGUCAUCAGCUUGUGCUGAAUACGUCCCUGCCCUUUGUACACACCGCCCGUCGCUA